AUGUUUUAAUUUCAGACACUGUUCCUAAAGCCAGAGUGUUCAAUGUGACCCUGGGGACAUUCCUGCCUGAUGUGGAGCUGGUCAAAUUUAUAGUUGGACCAGAGAAGUUAACUGUGCCAGAAGCCAACCUAAAAGGUUAUCAUGUCCAGGAGCAUGUCUUUCCCAAUGGAUCAAAGACCUACACUCUCCAGGUGCCAUUUGAGGACCCCAAUGUGAAGCAAAAGGUAACUCCUCCAGACACCAGAACCUACAUUCUGCCCCUGACCUACUUGCUGAAUAUAGUGCCAGAGAAUACACCCUUUACUCAUCCUGCUGUAGUCGAAGCCAUUCUCAAAGACAUCAUUCCACCUACAGUAACUGGCUACUGUGAUGGUGCUGCAUUCUAUACCAUGGUAACAUAUGGCAACAUGGGUCGCAACUGGAUUCCUUUUGUGGGCUCAAGAGAACUUGGUGGAAGUCUGCUUGCCCUGUACAAGUAUAAUGCCAACUCUACCAAUUUCUGGGUGACUGUGUGCC